CUCUCUCUCUCUCUCCCUCCCUCCUCUCCCCCCCCCGCUGACCCAGAUCUGCGAGGCUGCAUGUUGACGUCACGAUGACGGUGAGGACACCUGUCUCAGGAUGUUGUUCGGUCAGCUCCCAUGUGCAGAGACAAACCAGCAACGUGUCCGUCCGUCCCUCAGUACUUCCUGUCUGCGGCUCUCACCUGCGAGCCCAUUGGUUCCUGCUGAAGAUCUUUAUAAACACCUCACAAAUAUAUAGUUUCAUGUUUUAAUCAGACCAACAGGAGGAAACAGAGCAUCUGUUGGGGACUACUUCCAGCGGCGGAUGAAUCCACACGUGGCGCUGUAGUGAGUGUUUGGGGCAGCAGGACGGUGUGUGUGUUCAUGGAUUAGACUGUUUUCAAAGCGUGUAUAAAACAAAGAUCCAUUCAUCAGGCGUCACUUUCCAGCUGCUUCCUCUACAUGGAGGUCAGGUUACCACGGCAACAGCACACCUGUUGCACCGCAACAUCUGAAGAGGUGCACCAACUGUACACAGGAAACAGUUUUUUUUUACUUUCCCAUUUAAAGGCUUUUUGUGUUUCAGCUCCCGUGUAAGUGUUACAUCACUGCUUGAUCUCCCUCCCGCUCUGGUUUCAGUGAGCUCCUCAUCACCCUGAGUCCAUCACCUGCGCUGCUUCUGGUCUGUCUUCCUGCGGUUUGCAGCUGCCAACAGACCGUUUCAGAAACUCUUCCCUGGCGGUGAGUUCGAGGACGCUCUGACAUCAGAGUUUUCACAGUCGGCUGUUGAAGACGUUGUUGUUGCCCGUGCUGGGAGACGGCUGCACACUUAAACCCAAAAACGGAAGUUCGUUUGACAAUGACGACUGCACGUUUGACGAAAAAGAGAGGUUUCCAUUCCAGGCCUUUUGAUAUCAUCAUCAUCAUUAUUAUUAUUAUUAUUAUUUUUAUUAUGUGACAUUGGAGAUGGUGAGAAGCUGCUUCAGCCUUUUAUAUUGUCAGGGUUACAGUUACGGUUGAUUCAAGAGUUUGGACUUUUAUUUCACUACAAAGUGUGACAUCAUGUCAAUAAACGAUCUUUGGAUGUUUGACACCCCCCCCCCCCUUUCCUGUCUUGUUUAUUCCUCAUAAUUACAGCAGACUUUAGCGCCACCAGGUGGCUGUUCAUGUCAUUCUCUGGCAUUUGAUUCGUGGUGUGAAAGCAACAAGGAUGGAGGGAGUGUGUGCAUUGGCAGUGGGGAACCUCCGGGUGGAGGCAUUGUCAUGUCAUUGUCAACAACAACAACACACACACACACACACACACACACACACGCAACCUUGUACUUCUAUCCUUGUGAGGACUGUCACUGACAUAAUGCCUUCCCUGACUCUAACCCUUAAAACCAAACAGCCCUUUGAAGUUGUGAGGACCGUCCAAAAUGUCUCCACUUUCCACAAAUGUCCUCACUCUGUAGGUAAAAAAGCUGUUUCAGUCCUCACUAUGUAGCAAGUACAAACACACACACACACACAAAGGUCACUGAAGGUCGCCCCUGUUGUCAAAAACAUGGCUGAUUAAAGACUUGACCAAUUAUUUUA